GAUUUCUGGUACGGCGCACUUGGCCCGCUUCGGUUACGAGGUAGAGUGCCGGUGUGCGCCUGCCAUACAUCUAGUGUACGUCUCUACUCUUCACUGGGUCAGGGUCGGAAUCUAGAUCAUUUACUUUGAAAAAAUUAGAGUGUUUAAAGCAGGCUUUUGCUAUGAAUACAUUAGCAUGGAAUAAUAAUCUAGGACUUCGGUUCUAUUUUGUUGGUUUCUAUAACUGAAGUAAUGAUUGAUAGGGAUAGUUGGGGGUGCUAGUAUUGGCCGGCCAGAGGUGAAAUUCUUGGAUUCGGUCAAGACUAACUUAUGCGAAAGCAUU
rnacentral:rRNA from 2 species